rnacentral:lncRNA from 10 species
CUUGAACCCGGAAGACGGAGGUUUCAGUGAGCUGAGAUCAUGCCACUGUACCCAAGCCUGGGCGACAGAGCGAGAUUCCGUCUCAAAAAAAAAAAAAAAAAGGUAGAUAUGGAAAAGUAUGCAGAGAAAUAUACAAAAAAACAAAAGAGAUGAAAUUCUUUUUUUUUUUUUUGAGAUGGAGUCUCACUCUGUCACCCAGGCUGGAGUGCAGUGGCGCGAUCUCAGCUCACUGCAACCUCUGCCUCCCGGGUUCAAGCAAUUCUCCUGCCUCAGCCUCCCUAGUAGCUGGGAUUACAGGCGCCCACCACCAUACUCAGCUAAUUUUUUUUGUAGUUUAGUAGAGACAGGGUUUCACCAUGUUGGCCAGGCUGGUUUCAAACUCCUGACCCCAAGCAAUCCACCUGCUUUGGCCUCCCAAAGUGCUGGGAUUACAGGCGUGAGCCACCACGCCCAGCCCAAGAGAUGAAAUUCUAUAUCCCCAUGAUGACAACAUAUAGUCUGAGGCUGGAGGCAUCCCAGAAAGAAGAGAACUAAUUAAUAUUUGUGGGGACUACCAUGGACCAAGCAGGAUGCCAGACACUCUAUAUACAGCAGCUCAUUUAAUUCUCAUGAAAACCUUAUAAGGUGGAUGCAGUGAUGCUGAGUAUAACCAGGCUCGUGUGGAGGCCUCAAGCUGCUGGUGACAAUUUAAAGACUAUGCAAAAAGAUGGACAUCCAAGAUCUAACUGGUGAGAAUGGGCUUUAGGGAAGACAGAAAGGCAUCUCUGGAAUGAGUCAGCCUGUCAAUGACUGCAGCUGUGGGUGGGAGACCAUACCUGGACUGGGACAAUGCUGGUUGCUUGUGAGAACUUUGGGAUGAGUCAGGCUGGGGAGAGAAGGUGUCCAGGGACUGAAGACCAACAAAUGAGAAAGGGACAGAACCUCAAAGAUGGCUCAUAGGUGAGAUGGGGCUGAGGGUGGGAACCCUCAUAAGGAGUUGUGCCCAGUGUCUUCUUGGUGCAAGGUGGCUUCAUAGUGGAGGAGGCCUUCUGCCCACCCAGCACAGGGGGCAACAGGGAUGGUCCAACCCCCAGGCUCUGUGGCUGGGUGACAUCAGGGCCUGGCUAUAAAAGGGUAGCGACCAUGGACAGUGCUGACUGCAAGUCCCAGCAGAGUUAGGGUAAUAAACUAGGCCAGCUGCAGCAGCCCCUAGGUCUGCCUACAAAAGUUAUAUUACUGCCCAUCCCCUCCUGAUACCCACACCAGUGGGGAAGGGCAAGACUUAGAGCAAAAGAGGGAUGGGUAAGACAUUUUUC